rnacentral:rRNA from 1 species
UGGGGAAUAUUGGACAAUGGGCGAAAGCCUGAUCCAGCAAUGCCGCGUGUGUGAAGAAGGCCUGCGGGUUGUAAAGCACUUUCAGUUGGGAGGAAAAGCAGUGGGCUAAUACCCCGCUGUCUUGACGUAACCAACAGAAGAAGCACCGGCUAACUCUGUGCCAGCAGCCGCGGUAAUACAGAGGGUGCAAGCGUUAAUCGGAAUUACUGGGCGUAAAGCGCGCGUAGGCGGUUUUGUAAGUCGGAUGUGAAAGCCCCGGGCUUAACCUGGGAAUUGCAUUCGAUACUGCUUGACUGGAGUGUGGUAGAGGGAAGCGGAAUUCCGGGUGUAGCGGUGAAAUGCGUAGAGAUCCGGAGGAACAUCAGUGGCGAAGGCGGCUUCCUGGACCAACACUGACGCUGAGGUGCGAAAGCGUGGGGAGCAAACGAGGAUUAGAUACCCUGGUACGUCCACGCCGUAAACGAUGAGAACUAGACGAUAGCGACUCUCACGUUG